CGUGCCGGGCCGCGCCGAGGCCCGCAUCCCGAACGCCCGGAGGGCACCAGGUCGCCCCCUGACUUAGAUGACUUAACCGCUUCCUGAAAACGCUGUCGCUGCCCCUUGGUGUCUUUGUUGGGAGUAGAGGGCCGCGGGGGAAAGGGAAUCCAGGAAGAAGAGCGCUGCUGGUAGAGGAUGGCUGGAGAGGGAACAGACAGGAGCAAGGCUUGAACACUCGUGGACCCGUCCUGCUUGGCCGUGCCCAGAGCCGGAAGUUGGGUCUUCUGAUCCUGGCUGCCAGAGGUGGAUGAAUACUGAGAAGAGCGGCCCACGCAGCCCUGGCGGGAGAUGGAAGCUAUAGGGUCACCCGGGGCCCUGGCGACCAAAGGUUUCAAGGCGGUGACCUUCUGUCUCACUAUGUAAGUGAUAAUGUUGUGUAGAGAUUAUGUCAGGGUGAUAGGAAGUUCACUCACAGGGAGAACUCUGCAUUCUGAAUUGGAAUCUCCAACAGAACUCUUCCAUCAUUCAUAAGUGCCACAAAUUUGUAAGAAAGUCAUAAGAAAUGCUGAUUCAGGCUGGUAGGCUUUGUUGACUGGACCCAGCCAUGGAAACAUUGUUAUUUUUCUUAUAGUCAUCCUCUAUGGUUAGGAGUGUGCAUCCAGAGCUCCUGAACUUUUCCUCUAAACAAACUUUCACCAGAUAGUCAUCCAUGAACCGCCUAUCAAUCAUUUUUUAGAAGAGUUCUGGUUUGCAUGCCAUUAAUAUUUCUUUUGCCUGAAAAAUACAAC